UUCCUGGUGGUCCAGUGGUUAGGACUCAGCACUUUCACAGCUGGGACCCAGGUUCAAUCCCUGGUUGGGGAA